CUUAUCAAGAGUGGUGGAGGGACUGGCCCUGUGAAACCCAACAACCAGCAGUAUAAAUUCUGUAUGGUGUUAAAUCCUGCAAUUUUAAUUGAUAGAUAAGA
rnacentral:ncRNA from 1 species